UCAAACUUGGUCAUUUAGAGGAAGUACAAGUCGUAACAAGGUUUCCGUAGGUGAACCUGCGGAAGGAUCAUUUUUGAAGGCUACACGCCGACAUUGUGAAACGCCAGAAGCGCGCAAGCGUGGAAGGCACUGCUUGGGUGGAGCCUAGCUCUACCCAACUUUUAAACUUUUACCAAUUUAUCUGAAAACUUGAAAAUUUAAAACUUUCAACAACGGAUCUCUUGGUUCUCACAUCGAUGAAGAACGCAGC
rnacentral:misc_RNA from 1 species